AAUAGAUACCCAGGUAGUCCAUGCCGUAAACGUUGGGCGCUAGAUGUGGGGGACCAUUCCACGGUUUCCGUGUCGCAGCUAACGCAUUAAGCGCCCCGCCUGGGGAGUACGGCCGCAAGGCUAAAACUCAAAGGAAUUGACGGGGGCCCGCACAAGCGGCGGAGCAUGCGGAUUAAUUCGAUGCAACGCGAAGAACCUUACCAAGGCUUGACAUAUACGAGAACGCUCUAGAAAUAGAGAACUCUUUGGACACUCGUAUACAGGUGGUGCAUGGUUGUCGUCAGCUCGUGUCGUGAGAUGUUGGGUUAAGUCCCGCAACGAGCGCAACCCUCGUUCUAUGUUGCCAGCGGUUCGGCCGGGAACUCAUAGGAGACUGCCGGGGUCAACUCGGAGGAAGGUGGGGAUGACGUCAAAUCAUCAUGCCCCUUAUGUCUUGGGCUUCACGCAUGCUACAAUGGCCGGUACAAAGGGCUGCAAUACCGUAAGGUGGAGCGAAUCCCGAAAAAGCCGGUCUCAGUUCGGAUUGAGGUCUGCAACUCCG
rnacentral:rRNA from 1 species